CUCUUGUAAAACACCCGUGUCACAAACUGUUUGACACUUAAUUCAUAAUUAGAUAUCUAAAAUCAAAUGUUAGGCGAGACCAGGAAAGAGCAAGUUUUGACUUUGAUUUUUUUAAAAGAGAAAUGUUGUAUCAUAAUAAAACAAUUAAAUGGCACAUUUAUAUCUAACGUUAACCAGCUGGGUUUUAAUAAAUGACAAUGACAGUUAACAGUAUUCUGCAGCUAUGAUCAUGUCCAAUGAUGUAACUAAUACCUAACCGCCACAGGUAUUCAUACCUGUAUAUAUAUAUAUAUAUAUAUAUACCUCAACAUUUCAGAGAAUAGUUCCUGCUGCACAUCGAGGAUCUUGAUGUCUUCUUUCUCCGCCAGGUGGCCACACAACAUGGCGUAGAACACACAACUCCGACUCAUCAGAACAUAUCGGUGAGCUCGGACUGGCAUCCCUUCUUUCCCAACCCGGAAGCUGACGUCACAAGAAUCCUCAGAGGUCAACAUGUGGAGGUUACACUCCGCCAAGGUCUUCCCACUUUGCCAGUUGUCAACAAAUCCGGAGUUGUCUCCACUUACUUCCACAGAGGCCAUAGUGUUCCUGAAUGUUGUC